rnacentral:ncRNA from 1 species
UAACAUUUGCGGUGAAAUACACCUCUGACUUACUCUUAAAUCAGAGAGUAUGAGAAGGUUGGAUAAAGACCACUUUGUUAAGCCGGGGCAAUGUUUUUCUGAACGACCGCAGUUCGAAGUUGCCCCGGUUUCACAAU